AAGUUCAGUACCGAAGCUGCGGAUGCGACUCUUUGAGUCGCGUGGUAGCGGAGCGUCGAGCGCGCAGCGAAGCGGCGGGAUAACCCAGCCGUGGAGUGCGUUCGAGCGAGAAUGUUGGCAUGGGUAGCGAAAGAGGGGUGAGAACCCCCUCCGCCGUAUGUCCAAGGGUUCCUGGGCGAGGCCAAUCUUCCCAGGGUGAGUCGGGAGCUAAGGCGAGGCCGAGAGGCGUAGUCGAUGCACUGGUUGAUAUUCCAGUACCACCAUGUUCGCGACCGUUCCAAUACUUUGUUGCUAAGGGGCUGUGUUGACUUCGGUUAACACGAACCGACCCACAUUGUUGCGGAAAGCUAUAGGGGGACGCAGGAAGGUAGAUGAACCCGGUGAAUGGUAGAACCGGGGUAAGCGUGUAGGAGGAGGACCAGGCAAAUCCGGGCCUCAUAUACUCUGAGACGUGAUACCGAGCCGCUUCAGGCGAAGUCAUUAAUCCUAUGCUGCCUAGAAAAGCCCAGCAGCGAGUUGACAUGGUGCCCGUACCCCAAACCAACACAGGUGGACAGGUAGAGCAUACCAAGGCGAGUGGGAUAACUAUGGUUAAGGAACUCGGCAAACUUCCUCCGUAACUUCGGGAUAAGGAGGACCCCUGUAGCGUGACGAGACUUGCUCUCCGAGCGUGAAGGGGUGGCACAAAAUUGAGGGAAGCGACUGUUUACCAAAAACACAGCAGCGUGCUAAGCCGUAAGGCGCUGUAUACGCUGUGACUCCUGCCCGGUGCUGGAAGGUUACGGGGAUGGGUUAGUCCUUUGGGACGAAGCUCUGAACCUAAGCCCCAGUAAACGGCGGCCGUAACUAUAACGGUCCUAAGGUAGCGAAAUUCCUUGUCGGGUAAGUUCCGACCUGCACGAAUGGAGUAACGACUUCCCUACUGUCUCAACCAUAGACCCAGCGAAAUUGAAGUACGAGUAAAGAUGCUCGUUAGCUGCAGAAGGACGGAAAGACCCCGUGGACCUUCACUAUAACUUGAUGUUGUGUUUUGUCAUAUGUUGUGUAGGAUAGGUGGGAGACAAGGAAGCAUGGACGCUAGUCUGUGUGGAGUCAUCGUUGAAAUACCACCCUGCAUAUGGUGAGGCUCUAACCUAGACCCGUUAUCCGGGUUGGGGACAGCGUCAGGCGGGUAGUUUAACUGGGGCGGUUGCCUCCUAAAGAGUAACGGAGGCGCCCAAAGGUUCCCUCAGCCUGGUUGGCAAUCAGGCGUCGAGUGCAAUGGCAAAAGGGAGCUUGACUGCGAGACCUACAAGUCGAGCAGGAGCGAAAGCUGGGCAUAGUGAUCCGGCGGUUGCGUGUGGAAGC
rnacentral:rRNA from 1 species